rnacentral:sRNA from 2 species
UUUACGUUAGGGGUUGUAGUGGAGCUCUUUUUUAUCAGGCUUUUUUUGACUGAUAAAAAAAGCGGGAAUGGAAGACCUGACCCGCU